rnacentral:rRNA from 1 species
UGGCAGACGGGUGAGUAAUGCAUAGGAAUCUACCUAGUAGUAUGGGAUAGCCACUAGAAAUGGUGGGUAAUACUGUAUAAUCCCUGCGGGGGAAAGAUUUAUCGCUAUUAGAUGAGCCUAUGUUAGAUUAGCUAGUUGGUAGGGUAAAGGCCUACCAAGGCAGUGAUCUAUAGCUGGUCUGAGAGGAUGAUCAGCCACACUGGAACUGAGAUACGGUCCAGACUCCUACGGGAGGCAGCAGUGGGGAAUAUUGGACAAUGGGCGCAAGCCUGAUCCAGCUAUGCCGCGUGAGUGAGGAAGGCCUUAGGGUUGUAAAACUCUUUCAGUGGGGAAGAUAAUGACGGUACCCACAGAAGAAGUCCCGGCAAACUCCGUGCCAGCAGCCGCGGUAAUACGGAGGGGGCAAGCGUUGUUCGGAAUUAUUGGGCGUAAAGGGCAUGUAGGCGGUUCGGUAAGUUAAAGGUGAAAUGCCA